UUACACUCCGGUGUACAGUGUCAACCUGUCAACCCCCUGUAAGUGCAGCAAAACAGGAUUCCUCAGAUUCCCAAUUAUCAUCUUCAUCUUCCAUUUAUGAUUUCAUUCGACCCUGACUCUGGCCGCUUGGAGCUCCAUUUGGUGUCUCCUUCCCCUUGCGAUGCGAAAUUCAAGACCAGGGUUCGUUAAGAGUACAAUAUUACGGGUACAUUGGCUUAUGGCCAGAUUGUUAAUUUAUCCGGAAUAGCUGCCCAGGACUUUUUCCUCUGGCUGCCAGUGAAAAGGAUCCGGGUCGACAUUCCGAGCUCCGGGUUGAUUUAUUUUGACGUUGGGGUUGUGUUUAAGCAGCUCUCAUUGUCAUUUUUCGAAGACUCUAAAAGAUUGUGAUGUUUCGGCAAAGUGAGAUCAAGUAAAUGAUAUCAUUUAGUUUAAUUACCAUGGGCAAAUCGCUGAGGUUGGUAAAUCUUGAUUUCUGCAUCUCUGUAUACUUUUAUACAUUAAUUGGUUAAUUUAUAACAUGGCAUAUACAAUUUCCAUUUCUUUAGUCCUGAAUUCUCGAAAGUUUGGGGUGGGCAUGGGGCUAAUGUUUAUAUUGAUGAUGCAUAAUAUAAGACAAGGUGUUAUCUCGAUAGGUGGCACACACACUCACACGAUUGUUUAUUGGCUGUGUGUUUUUAGAUGAUUUUCAUUUUAGUCACAGUUAUUGUUUAUUUAGGAUGAAGAAAAUUAUUUUUGUUCAUUCUCUUCAUUUCACGUUAUGAACUUCUCAGAUUUUUCUUUGAGUUCCUAGUUUCCAGAAUUGAAUUGGAAAUCGUUAUUUUGCUGAAAUAAUAAUUCCAAAAUCCAUCUGCUAAAAAUGAAUGGGUUAAAGGAACUCGAGAAGCUUAUUUAUCAAUUUUCAGAAUUUGUAUCAUUUGCUCAUAUUGGAUUUCACGUAGAUCCCUUACUCAGCUUACAUUAUGAAGGCUAUUUUGGGAAUUUUAUUUAUUUAUUUUUUCUGUUAGCUUCUUGUUAAUCAGUUUUGUAUUUGUCAAUUUUCUAUUGGUUGAGUUUGUUAUGUAUAGAAAGGUGAAGAUUCCUUCUAUCGUGGUCAUAGGCUGUAUAUAAAUAGGCUAGUUCCUUUGUAUAUAUUUUUAUUCGAUUCUUAUGAUUACAAUGGAGAAUUCCCAAGUUCAUAUAUCAUUUUCUUUCUUCUCUAACUUUCAUAUUUAAAUUCUUAUAUGGUAUCAGAGCAGGUGAACCAAAUCAACCAUGACUACAGAAAUUCCUUCCACAGAUUCUUCCCCUGCUUCUCCAUCCAAAAUUUCUAACCCCUUCCUCAAUUUCACCGAUGUCACCAAUCCUUACCGUCUUGACCAUGGUGAUAAUCCAUCGAUCUCUCUUGUUCCUGAACUUCUUACAGUUGACAAUUACACUACUUGGUCUAGGGCAAUGCAUAGAGCCCUUAGAGCCAAGAACAAAUUAGGCUUCAUCAGUGGUGCUAUCACCAAGCCAACUAGUUUAGACGACCCUUUGUUUGAGGCCUGGGAACGUUGUAAUGACCUUGUGACCUCCUGGGUGCAGAAUUCCAUCUCCCCAUCAAUCAAGUCUAGCAGAGCUCUUGUGGAUGAUGCUGCUGAGCUGUGGGAUGAACUGAAGGAGCGGUUUACUCAGCAAAAUGGUCCACGAAUCUUCCAACUUAAGAAAGCCCUUGCAAGUUUGCAACAGGAGCAAGAUUCAGUAAGUGUUAUUAUGGGAAGUUGAAAUCAAUUUGGGAUGAGCUCAAUAUGUUCGACCCUUUGCCUGACUGCACCUGUGGAAAGUUAACUACACUUUCUAAUAGAUACCAAAGGGACUGUGUGAUACAGUUCUUGAUGGGUUUAAAUGAUUCAUACACGAACUCACGAGACCAGAUUAUGCUCCUUGAUCCUUUACCCUCAAUUGGGAAAAUUUUAUCCAUGAUCCAACAACAAGAAAUGCAGCACAUGAUGCUUAACAACCUACCAUCACCUAAUGUGAUGGGCUUAGCUAGUAGGAAGUUUCAUCCCAUUCCUAAACCAAGUGUUAAGACUGGCCAACCCAACAACCGUGACCGUCCUUAUUGUACUCACUGUCAUGCACCAGGGCAUGAUCUAGAGGCAUGUUUUAAAGCAAGGAAUGCCAAGCCACCAAUUUGUACUCAUUGCCAUAUGAGUGGUCAUGUAGUUGGGAAGUGCUACAAACUUCAUGGGUAUCCACCUGGGCAUAAGUACUUCAACAAGGGAAAAUCUCCCAGACUUUUUGCUAAUGCUGUCAUUGCAGAUCAAGAGGAUGAUUCAGAUUCAAGAGUUGGUCUUACAAAGGGACAGUAUCAACAAUUGCUUUCUCUGUUGCAGCAAAAGGACAGUCCAAUAAUGCCUUCUAUGUCCACCAAUCCAUCCAAGACAGCUUUUCAUCCUGUAGCUAAUGCAGCAAAGGCCCUUACCAUGUCCGGUAUAUCUAUCUCUUGUUCCACUUCUUCUCAAAGACUUUUAUUCUCUGCCGAAACACCUUGGAUUAUCGACACAGGUGCUACAGACCACAUGGUCUGCAGCAUCUCCCUGUUUACUACCAUCAAUUCAGAAGUAUCUUAUUCUGUCAAGAUGCCAAAUGGUGAUGAAGCACUUGUCACACACGUAGGAACAGUUCAUAUCACUGGAAAACUCGUUCUAGAAAAUGUUUUAUGUGUCCCGUCUUUUACAUUUAACUUGAUUUCUGCUAAAAGACUUGCCCACUCACUUACUUGCUGCCUUAUUUUUUUUUCUGAUUGCUGUUUCCUCCAGGACCUUUUGUCUUGGACAAUGAUUGGGAAGGGUGAAGUGAAGAAUGGACUCUAUCAAUUGCAACAUGCUAAAGUGUCUUCUGAAGCUCUUGUUGACAACUUUUCUAAGUAUUUAAAUAAAAAUAUCUUUGUUUCCACUUCUGUACUUGACAAUAGUUCUUCCAUAGAUCUUUGGCAUUAUAGACUUGGCCAUACACCUUUGUCUAGGAUAUCUUUGAUCGAUGAUCCUGUUGUAAGUACUGAAAUUACUGACAUUAAUGAAAAUCCUUGCUGCAUUUGUCCCACGGCUAAACAACAUCGCCUUCCUUUUCCAACCAGCACACAUAUGAGCACCAGAAUUUUUCAACUUAUUUCUUGUGAUAUAUGGGAGCCUUGUUCUGUUCCUGCACAUGAUGGAUCCAAGUACUUUCUUACUAUUGUGGAUCAUUUCUCUCGAAGUACUUGGGUCUAUUUACUAAAAACAAAAUCUGAAACUCGCCACUGCAUAGAGACUUUUUGUAACCUUGUUGAGAACCAGUUUGAUGUCAAAAUCAAAAUCUUAAAAAGUGAUAAUGGGGCAGAGUUUAAAAUGACAGAUUUCUUUUGUAAAAGGGGUAUUUUGCAUCAAACUAGCUGUGUGGAAACACCACAGCAAAAUGCUAUUGUUGAACGUAAGCACCAGCACCUUUUAAACAUUGUGAGAGCACUUAGGUUCCAAGCUUCACUUCCUAUGAAGUUUUGGAAUGAAUGCAUUUUAACUGCUGCUUACAUUAUCAAUAGAAUCCCUUCUCCUGUGCUGUCAAAUAAAACCCCCUUUGAGUUACUUUUCAAUAGAAAACCAACCUAUGGUCACAUGAAAGUAUUUGGUUGCUUGUGUUUUGCUUCAACUAUUUCACAAGGCAGAACUAAAUUUGAUUCCCGAGCUAGAAAAUCCGUCUUUCUUGGCUAUCCUUUUGGUGUUAAGGGAUACAAGUUGUUUGACCUUGAUACCAAGACCUUUUUCAUCUCACGAGAUGUUGUUUUUCAUGAAAUAGUCUUCCCCUUCCACACCAUCACACUUGACAACCUGCCGCCAGAAACUACUAACAACAAUAAUUUCUGUCAACUUUCUCCUCAACCAUUUCCUUCUAAUGUUGAGCAGAUUAAUUCAGAUUUUUCUCCUUCUCAAUCUUCAAACUUAACACCUUUAGAUCCUCCUUCUACUCGUGUCUUCAUUAAUAGCCCUGUUCAAACUUCUGAGAUAGUUGCUUCCUCUCCUACUUCUGAUUUACCUCAUACUACAGAAGAAAUCACCCAAGAACAAUUACCUAUCCGCAAGUCAACAAGAGUUAGAAGAGCACCACAGUACCUGCAGGACUUUCAUUGUCAACAAGUGCACUUCACUUCUCCAGACCAAUCAUUGACCAGGCAAUUGUCUUCCAAUACAGGUACAAAUUUUCCUUAUCAUAUCAUCGUUUAUCUCGCAAUUAUGCUGCUUUUUCAACUUCUAUUUGCUCUCAAAUUGAUCCUCAAACAUAUCAUCAAGCUGUUAAGGAUCCGGGUUGGUGUGAGUCUAUGAAGGCUGAAUUGGAUGCUUUUGAACUCAAUCAGACUUGGGAAUUAACUGAUCUGCCACCUGGUAAGGAACCAAUCAAGUGUAAGUAUGUUUACAAGACCAAAUUUAAUUCAGAUGGGACUGUUGAAAGGUUAAAGGCCAGAUUAGUGGCCAAGGGCUAUACACAACAAGAAGGGAUUGACUAUCAAGAAACUUUUUCUCCAGCAGCCAAAAUGGUCACAGUUCGCUGUCUCCUUGCACUUGCUGCCAUACAUGGCUGGCAUUUGCAACAAUUUGAUGUUAAUAACGCUUUCCUUCAUGGGGAGCUAGAAGAGGAAAUUUAUAUGUGUAAACCCCCUGGUUAUAACAAAGGAAAACCCGAACAAGUGUGCAAACUGCUCAAAAGCUUAUAUGGCCUUAAGCAGGCAUCUCGCCAAUGGUUCUCCAAAUUUUCAGACUCACUUAUACACUUUGGUUUUCAACAGUCCAAAUCAGAUUAUAGCUUAUUCACUAUGAUCAAAGAAGAUGUUUUUACUGCCUUAUUGGUUUAUGUGGAUGAUAUUGUGGUUGCUAGUAACUCCAUUGAUUGUAUUAAUUCUCUCAAAGUGUUCUUGAAUACUGAGUUUAAGAUUAAGGAUCUUGGUGCCCUUCGUUAUUUCCUUGGUAUUGAAGUGGCAAGAUCCAUAAAAGGGAUUCAUUUAUGUCAACGGAAGUAUACACUUGACAUACUAGCAGAUUCAGGUACCCUUGGUUCCAAGCCAGCUAAACUUCCCAUGGACCGAAAUAUCAAGCUUAGCAAAGAAUCAGGGUGUAUUCUUUCUGAUCCAAGCAUUUAUAGAAGACUUGUAGGAAGGUUAUUGUAUUUAACUAUUACAAGACCUGACAUUAGCUAUUCGGUGCAAGUACUCAGUCAGUUCAUAUCUAAGCCAACUCAUCUUCACCUACAAGCUGCCCACAAAGUACUGAAUUAUCUAAAAGGUAGUCCUGGCCAGGGUAUUUUACUUUCUUCUUCAUCCCCUUUGCAAUUAAAUGGCUACUGUGAUUCUGAUUGGGCUUCAUGUCCAGACACUCGACGCUCUAUCACUGGCUUCUGCAUUUUCUUGGGCAACUCUCUUAUAUCUUGCAAAUCCAAGAAACAAUCAAUUGUUUCUCGCUCAUCUGCAGAAGCGGAGUAUCGGGCAAUGGCAACAACUGUUUCUGAGUUUACUUGGAUUAAACAAUUGUUAAAAGAUCUGCACAUUUCUCAUUCGUCUGCUGCAAUUCUUCACUGCGACAAUCAAGCAGCUCUGCAUAUUGCUGCCAAUCCAGUAUUCCACGAACGUACUAAACAUAUAGAGGUUGAUUGCCAUCUCAUUAGAGACAAAAUUCAGGAAGGUAGUAUCAUCACAGCUCAUGUAUCAACUCAUUCACAACUGGCCGACAUCUUCACUAAGGCUCUCUCUUCUUCUGUUCUUACUACUCUCCUCUCCAAGAUGGGAAUAGUAGAUAUCUAUUCUCCAUCUUCCGGGGGGGGGGGGGUAUUGGAUUUCACGUAGAUCCCUGACUCAGCUUACAUUAUGAAGGCUAUUUUGGGAAUUUUAUUUAUUUAUUUUUUUCUGUUAGCUUCUUGUUAAUCAGUUUUGUAUUUGUCAAUUUUCUAUUGGUUGAGUUUGUUAUGUAUAGAAAGGUGAACAUUCCUUCUGUCGUGGUCAUAGGCUGUAUAUAAAUAGGCUGGUUCCUUUGUAUAUAUUUUUAUUCGAUUCUUAUGAUUACAAUGGAGAAUUCCCAAGUUCAUAUAUCAUUUUCUUUCUUCUCUAACUUUCAUAUUUAAAUUCUUAUAGCUCAUAUGUUCAUCAACUUAAAUUUCUCUAAAAAGGAUUAGUCACAUGAUUGAAUAAUGGAUGCUGAUGAGCUUUAAAGAUUAGAGAGAGAGUCAACGAGCACAAUAAUAUUGUCAGAGGAAUUCGGUCUUGUCAUGUUCUUCAACAUGACAAUAUCACAGGCUACAGAUUCUGUUAUGCAGCAAUAGUAACUACCAAGGUCAGAAGCUUCAAUUCUUCCCCUGGGAGCCUGCUAAAUAUGCUAUUAAUUAUGCUAUUUGUACCCGGGCGUUUACACGCUCGGUUACACUCCUCUCACAUUGGGGGUGGGGCCCGCGCACAAUAAAUGCGUGGGACCCGCCCCUCAUGUGAGGGGCAUGUAAACGCCCGGGUACAUGUAACAAAACCCAUAUGCUACUCUCCUGGGAUGGUGUGGAGGAAAACAGUUAAAUUAUGUUGCCGCUCCAUAUUACGUGAGUUAAAUGGUUGUGUUCUUGUAUAUGUUAAUGCAUACACAUACUGGUAUGAAACAUGUUCGUCAUGUACAUCAUCAUAGUUGGAUUCCCCCUGCUUCUAAGAACGCAACUCUAUUUAGCUUUUUAAACUACUUUAUUAAUCAUUUUGAUCUUGUUGCAAGGUCCAUCCGGAAAGUUUGGGAGGAAACAUGACGAGGGGACUGCAUUGAGAACUGUUUCAUAAAUAGGGAGGCAGAGGAGUUCAUACAUUUUGUCUAAGUAGUGGAUUCAUCAUUUGACUUGAAGAGUACAAGAAUCUGGUGGUCCAUUAUGUGUGCUUUCUUGCUUAUAUUAUGGCUUCUUCCUCAGCAGCUUCUGCUUAAGUGGAGCAAGGUUACGGUUUUGUUAGGGAGAGGGAGAACAUGCAGUUUAUGAAUGAGGGACGGGGAUUUUCAGUUAUAUAGCUGUGGUUUUGGUUUCACCAUCCAUUGUUUUGGUUUCAGAGAUGUUCUCCUUUCACUCUUUUUAUCUUGUGCUGUAUCCAUCAAAUUGUUGUGCUUGAGUUGAUUUGUAUAUGGUUCUGGUUGUUGCAUUUCAGUAUGUUACACCAUAUGGUUGCACGAGGGAAUUAGUUUGGUGGACAAUGUAUUUUUGUUUUUUAUUUUUAGAUAAUGAGUUCGAAACAUAAAAUUCGUCAGGAG
rnacentral:lncRNA from 1 species